rnacentral:misc_RNA from 1 species
GUGAAUCAUCAAAUUUUUGAAUGCAGAUUGCACUUUCUGGUAUUCCGGUAAGUAUUUCUGUUUGAGGGUCAGAUAAAUCAAAAUCGGUGUUGUUGCUGCCUUUCGUUGUUCCGCAUCGGAAUUAGGUCGUCUUACCUUCGGUUAAGUGACUUAAAAUUUUUGCUUGAUUUUCGAACGUAUUUAAAUCGCUUACGUACGUUUCAGAUAUCGAAUACUUUAUUAGUAUCGGUCGUCCUCAUGAUUCGCACCUAUAAUUUUUCAUUAAAUGACCUCAAAUCAGGUCAGAAUCCC